UACUCCCUUGGCAAACAGGCAUUUGCUGUUGUCUUCUCAGGCUGCCCCCUGGGCCUUAUCAGGGCUGGCAGUGUUUGCCUGGCUGGAAAACGCUCCCUCGUGUUCAUGGAGAAGCGGUAAAUGAGAAGCCGUCUCCUGCCUUCCUCAGUGCCAGCCGGCCGAGCACCAAGCAACCUCUGAAAUAUUAUCUCCUCAUAAACCUCAGCAGACAGUGUUCUUCUCAGAGGCCAAAGAGAUGGAGCCAUCAGAUCUUGAAUUUCCAGCCUCCCAAAAAG